GGUGAACGCUGGCGGUAGGCCUAACACAUGCAAGUCGAACGGCAGCACAGUAAGAGCUUGCUCUUACGGGUGGCGAGUGGCGGACCGGUGAGGAAUACAUCGGAAUCUACUUUUUCGUGGGGGAUAACGUAGGGAAACUUACGCUAAUACCGCAUACGACCUACGGGUGAAAGCAGGGGAUCUUCGGACCUUGCGCGAUUGAAUGAGCCGAUGUCGGAUUAGCUAGUUGGCGGGGUAAAGGCCCACCAAGGCGACGAUCCGUAGCUGGUCUGAGAGGAUGAUCAGCCACACUGGAACUGAGACACGGUCCAGACUCCUACGGGAGGCAGCAGUGGGGAAUAUUGGACAAUGGGCGCAAGCCUGAUCCAGCCAUACCGCGUGGGUGAAGAAGGCCUUCGGGUUGUAAAGCCCUUUUGUUGGGAAAGAAAAGCAGCAGGUUAAUACCCCGCUGUUCUGACGGUACCCAAAGAAUAAGCACCGGCUAACUUCGUG
rnacentral:rRNA from 1 species